rnacentral:rRNA from 1 species
GUGGGGAAUUUUGGACAAUGGGCGCAAGCCUGAUCCAGCAAUGCCGCGUGCAGGAAGAAGGCCUUCGGGUUGUAAACUGCUUUUGUACGGAACGAAACGGUCCUGGCUAAUACCUGGGGCUAAUGACGGUACCGUAAGAAUAAGCACCGGCUAACUACGUGCCAGCAGCCGCGGUAAUACGUAGGGUGCGAGCGUUAAUCGGAAUUACUGGGCGUAAAGCGUGCACAGGCGGUGCUGUAAGACAGGCGUGAAAUCCCCGGGCUCAACCUGGGAAUUGCGCUUGUGACUGCAGUGCUGGAGUGCGGCAGAGGUGGAUGGAAUUCCGCGUGUAGCAGUGAAAUGCGUAGAUAUGCGGAGGAACACCGAUGGCGAAGGCAAUCCCCUGGGCCUGCACUGACGCUCAUGCACGAAAGCGUGGGGAGCAAACAGGAUUAGAAACCCGAGUAGUCC